GGGGGCUGGGGGGGCCGGGCCGGGCUGUCGGCCCGCCGCCACUGCCGCCGAGGUCCCGCCCGCCGGCUGAGAGGGGAAGGCAGGAGAGACCCGGCGGCUGCACCCGGCCCGCGGAACUCACCGGCCGUCCCCUCCAGGGACUGAUUUCCUGGACUGAUCAGCACGUGAGAAGCAACCAAGCGCAUUCUCUGUGAGCUCUGGUAUUUUUUAAGAUAUGCUUGCUGAAACACCCUGCUGGCUGCUAAGCUCUACUUUCUAGAAAAAACGGGAUUAUUUCCCGAAAAAAAGCGCAUUUCGUGUAUGUAACAGGCUAGUUUCUGCAGGAGAUGCUUAUCCUGCUGAGCCUCUCUUACAUUUUCCCUGUAACAGAGAAAGUGCUCGUUCAUGUUUUUGUUACAGCUCAGCAUUUCUAAGCUUUGUACCCUCACAGAGAUAAGAUGCUACAUUUGUACAUUAAAAGGAAGAGAUCUCCAUCAAAGCUACGAAUGGUUUUAGUUUGUUUGGUUUGGUUUUUUUUCUCCUUGUGAAUACCCUUGCAAUAAAGAAUUCGAACGUGUUUUCCUCUCUAAUAAACGUCCUAAAUUGCCAAAAAGGGAGAGGUCAUAGUCAGAAUGUUGGAUUUUGAUUAUUAGUAAAUCAAGAGUAGAAAGGAUGGGGAGAAAUACCCGGCGUGUUAUCAGUCUUGAAAGGAGAGAGAAAGAAAGAAAGAAAGAGGGAGAAAGAUAAAGAAAAAAGAUAAAGCUCCUUGUAGCAAACAAGAAUUUAUUCUACCAAAAAUAUUUAUGACAACGCAUCCUAAUGCAAUACAAAAAUAAAAAGAAAGUGAAGAUACAAUUCCUAUAUGAUCACUUUCUUACAGACCUCAUAUAUUGCUUUUAUAGAAGGACCUAGAAUGUGGCUAGGUUAAAAUUGAACACAACUAAAACUUUGUAAGAAACGGCAAAUGGCACAGCUGAGGGAGGUAAUAAACAGAAAAUACUGACCCGAAAAAGGGAGGGGGGUAAAAAAUCACGGGAAAAAUUAAGAAGAACAAGGAAGAGAAAGCAGAAGCCUUGGAGGGGCCGUCUUUAAUUUCUCAGUAAUUCAGAUGCUGCAAGUCAAUUGUGGUGAGUGUGUCUGUAAAAAAGUCAAAACUGUCAGCAGAAAUAUCUACGGGACUGUCCAGAGAUCCUGGCAAACUGGGGGAAACUGCAUCUGAAAGCUGUAGACAGGAAUCUGUGGAGAAAACGUUAAAGUCCUGUAAAGAAGGGACAUUUAGGGCCUCAGGACUGUCAUUGUUCAGGCCAGCUGCACAGUUCUGGGCCAUUGUUGAGAGGCAGUUUUGAACAGUGGGUGACUGAUGUUGAAAAUGUUUCAGAUUUUUCUCAUUGCUCGUUAAAGGCGAAACGGGGAAAGUUUGGGACUCGCCAUUGUGCGCAUUCUGUGCCUGCUGCUGGGAGAGGGCAUUCUGCUGGAAAGUGUAGCCUUCCCGCUCCAAGAGAGCGCCGGAGACGUUGCUGAGGGCUUGCUCGAAGAGGGAAUUCUCCUCCUCCUCCUCCUCCGCCGCUUUCUCGGGGUCCUCGAGGUGCUUAAAUUUCCCGUCGCUGUUUUGGUUCUCCUUGCACUGGGUCUGUCUCUUAUGCUUCAUCCUCCUGUUCUGGAACCAGACUUUGACUUGUCUCUCAGUUAGGUCCAGCAAGGCUGCAAUCUCAACCCUCCUUGGUCUACAGAGAUACUUGUUGAAAUGAAAUUCUUUCUCUAGCUCCAAAAGCUGGGUGUUGGUGUAAGCCGUCCUCAGCCGCCUAGAUCCACCGCUACCACUAUCGGGGAUUUCAAGGGGGUCUGUUAAAAAAGAAAAAAAGAAAAAGAAAAAAACCACCACCACACGCACACACACCCCAAAGCACCACCGCCAGAACAGCGAAAAGAAAAACACACGCACGCACACACAAAAUAGAUAAAUGCACGGAUUGAAUUUCAGCACCCGAGCACAUCGCAUCCCGGGGGGAUGGAGUGCUCUCUCUGCACGUACGUGUCUAUAUCUAUAUGUCCAUAUAGCAUAAAGUAGCAACUGCAACAAAAUGGCCGCCUUUGGAUGCAGUAAACCCAUUGUGUUGCACUGCUGAGCGCCCGGUGCUGUGUGCCCCUUGGCCACCUCCGCAAAAUUACUGCCUGCAGCUCCCCAACCUCCCCACACCAGAGCAAACUUUAUAUUAGCCAUACCGCAAUUUAUAAUUAAUGCAUCAGCUGCUUAGCUGAGCGGGAGCAAUCUAUCACUCUUCAUUACUGUCAAAUAUCCUAACUCUAGGACGGCGAGACAAGAGAGGUCAGCUCCAACUCAAAUAAAUCAUCCCGCAUUAAGCAAGUUUGGGGAAAGUUUGGGUUUCCAGAGAGCCCGGCCAGCUCCGUCCUUCCCGCCCGCCCGCCCCUUCGCCUCGUCCCCCCGCGAAGCCGGGGGGAUGCGGGGAGCCAAAAAAGCGGCCCGGCGGGGCCGGCGGCAAGUCUUUGGACUGACCUUUGUGGCUGAGGCAGGCAGGUCCAGCGGCUGAGGCGGAGGCCGAGGCGGGCGGUAGCGCGGAUCGCUUGGACGCCUUUUUCUCUUUCAUCCAGGGGUACUCCGGGGGCGGCGGGGCUCCGGCGGGGGCCGGGCUGCCGCUGCGGCCGCGGGGGCUCGCCUUGGGGCGACCGCCGCCGCUGUGGCGAGGGUGGCUGCCGGGGUUCAGGCUGGGGAUGGUCUGCUCGAAAGGAGGAGGAAUCAGUGUCGAGUGUGAAAGCGUCGAGUUCUUGAUUGAUGAACUUUGAAAUGUAUCACCGACAGGGGGAAAAGAUGUCAGGCACUCAGCAAGCGAUGGCUGGCUAUUGAUAAAACCGAUCUCUCGCUCAAAUGCGAAAUUCAUGGCCUUCAACUGGCAGCCCCCGCGGAGAAAAAGUUCCCUCGGAUUCAGGGGGCUCGGGGGGGGAAGGCCCAGGAAAAAGGAGAGAGAGCAGAAAAAAAUAUAGCAUAGAAGAUCGCUGGUGGGGUGUUUUUUUUCUAAUUCACUGAUUACAGCCGUAUGGGGACCGUGCUACUAUUAAACUAUUGAAUUCAUGGAGACAAGGUUGAAAUUGGACCGAAUUGGCUGUCACAUGAUUGCCUCUGCCCAAUGACAAUUUGGGCUUUAAUCAAAAGAAGCCACUGUCUGUUUGAUUGAUCCAAAAAAGUCGGGAAGGAACGCCUCAUUGGGGGCCAGAAAGGCUUUAUUUACACUUUUUUUUAAAGAGGGAAAUGAUAUCUCCGGUAUCUAUCCCCUUGGCGUCCUAAUCUGAAAUGAUUGGGAGUGGAGGGGAGGGUGCGUGUGCGUGGAUUUGUUUGUGUGAGAGGCUGAGAGUGUGUGUGUGUGUGCGAGCGCGUGUGAGUGUGUGUGUGUGGCUGCUUGUCCUGCAGCCUGCUGCCUCCCUCGCCUCCACCCGCACACUCUUCUCUCAUUGUUUGGGACUGUCAGGAAAACGCUUUGCACCUCACAAAUCAUUUAAGCACCUCAAUCUGACGCCUUGAGUCAUUAACAAAGUAAUCCAUUAAUCUUCAAAGUUUUGACACCGGCAGGCCCCCGCAUAAGAAGUUGCAUCCAGGCAGGAGUCUGAAGCAGAGGGUCUCGAUUUUUUCCUAGGGAAUAGCACUUCCUCCAAAACUAGUUUCUCGUUCCCGAAUCAGCCUCGAUGAGCUGCUUUUGCUUUCGUGGUGGUUUGUUUCAUUUUUUCUUUAUUUUUUUCCUUUUUUUCUUUCAUUUUGUCUUUUUUUUUCCUUUCUUUUUUUUGGGUGUCCUUUUUUGUUUGUUUCUCUCUCUUUUUUUUUUGGUUUUUUUUUUUUUUUUUUUUUUUUUUGUGACUGUCGGGUGUACAGUACGGAGAACAACUGGCCGCCGGUGCCGAGCCAUUGUUUAACAGGAUCUUCCUCAGCAACCUUGCUUCUAGGGGAAGAGUCACAUAUACAGCAGCCCUUGUGCUUCAUGACUUCCCUCUCCAGUUGGCUUCCCGGGAUUGGACCGUAAAACAUAACCCUAGGAGUACCUCUCUGGGCGAGCCAAAUCGGGAGGCUGCAAAUGCGUCUGGCUGUUGCCUCUUUAAAAAAAAAAAAAAAAUCCUGUGCCUUAGCUUGCAAACGAUACUCCCGUCUGCUGGCAUAAUUUGCUUAAUAACCGUAGUAGGCUGGGUCUGGUGAGUAUUUUCGAUUACCAGGAAAUAUAUGGGCUGGUAGCGGGUUUGUUUUCACGGGGCCAGGCAGAGCGAAAAUGCUGGGGGUUGUGACUUGAGAAACGGCACUCGCCUCCGAUGCUUGGGUCUCGCCGCCGCCGUGUCCAGUCGCCCCUGCUAGGUGGAGGCAAGUCCCGAAUUUUGAUGCUCUGGGUACAAUUUUCCAACCAGACCGAGGCGAGCGGGAGAGUGAUGACAAUGAUGGCCACAAUCACCAGCCUGAUGAGUCCUAUGGUCACAGCCGCCCCGGGCAGCCCGGACUGGGUUUGCCUUCCCGCGGAACUCGGGGUGCCCGGCGGGGUGGGGUGCGCCGGGGGGCCGGGGGAGAAGGCGCUUUCCUGCCGCUUUCCGCGUCCUCGAGGAGCCAGGGACCAUCGUCAGCGAGAUGCGGUGCCGCCUCGCUUUAUUUUCGGAGUUGCCAAAAAGAGGUUGGCAAGCGUUUUCGUAAUUAAAAAAAAAAAAAAAAAAAAAA